UUAGUAUGUAUGCAAAGUGUGGCUUUGUUGAAGAUGCCCGCAAGGUGUUUGAUGGAAUGCAUGAGAGAAACGUGGUUUGCUGGACCUCAAUGAUUUCCGGGUACACAUAGUUGGGUAAGUGUAAAGAGUCUGUUGAGCUUUUUAGGGACAUGCAAAUUGCUGGAAUAAAGGCUGAUGAUGCGACAAUUGCUACUGUUGUAUCUUCAUGCGCCCAAAUGGGAGCAAUUGACUUGGGACGCUAUGUUCAUGCUUAUUGUGAUGUUCAUUGUUUAGGGAAGGAGCUUGCUGUGAAAAAUUCACUGAUUGAUAUGUACUCAAAAUGUGGGGAUAUUAAAAGGGCUUAUGAGGUAUUCUGUGGAUUGACCAAGCGAGAUGUGUUUUCUUGGACAGCAAUGAUAAUGGGCUUUGCUGUUAAUGGCCUCUGUGGUGAAGCAUUAGAUUUGUUUUCUCAGAUGGAAGAAGAGGGUAAUGCUAUGCCGAAUGAGGUCACUUUCUUGGGUAUCCUUACUUCUUGCAGCCAUGGAGGGUUAGUGGAACAAGGGUACCAUCACUUCCAUCGUAUGUCCAUGAUCUACAAUCUUGCACCGAGGAUUGAACAGUAUGGAUGCAUGGUUGAUCUAUUGGGCCGUGCAAAGCUAUUGGCAGAGGCAGAACAAUUUAUUAAAGAGAUGCCUAUUGCUACUGAUGUGGUAGUAUGGCGGUCAUUGUUGUUUGCCUGCAAAGCUUGUGGAGAGGUGGGACUUGCAGAGUAUGUAUCAAAAAGGAUCCAAGAGUUGGAGCCAAAAAAGUGUGGAGGGCAUGUUUUACUUUCUAAUGUCUAUGCUACCACAUCAAGGUGUGUUGAUGUGAAUGAGGUGCAGACAUCUAUGGACGAUGGUAGGAUGAGUAAGCAGCCCGGUUGCUCUUUCAUUGAAGUGGAUGGAUGUGUGCAUGCGUUCUUUGCAGGAGAUGAAUCGCACUUUGAGACAGAAGCUAAAAACAACAUUCUUUUGGGGAUCAAUGAUCUGUCAGUAGCAGAGUCCUUACUCAUUUGAAAGCUAAGAUAUUUUUGUGGCAACUAAAUACACAGAUUUUUUGACACGUACCAUGCUGUGAUUUUAAAAUCUUAAAUUCAUGAAAUGAUGGAAUCGAAAGAAUGUCUACAAUUUUCUUGUAUUUCUCCAGGAAGUGGGAAAUGACCUUUUUCAAGCCGUUUACAGCUUAGUAACUAGCAUGCUUGAUGGACGGCACUCGAGCCCCUAGCAAUGCCGGAGUAAUUGGAUGUGUUCCCAGCAUAGGGGAAAAUAAACAAAAAGUAGGGAUUAAUUCCCCAAGUAUAUCGAAAAAGGAAAAAUAGAGUGGCAGCUAGAUGUCUGACACAGCAGCAUAGCAGUCAGCACUAAAGGUCAUCAUGCCAUAACAGCCACACUAAUCAUCAAUGCCCGUUCAUGAAAUUUUUAGCCAACAUAACAAGGUAUCGCCAAUGCAUAUACAGGAAAUGUUUCUGAAAGGCAAGAUUCCAAAACUGGAGGACAAGUAAAAUCACACCGGUGACAUUUGUUUCUCUGAUCAAUGUUAACAAUAUAUAUUCCCAAACCUCUGGUUAUCAGUGAGCCGAAAGCUUGGAUUUUGGGGUUUAAUUGCAGUGAAUUGCAAUCCUACAGUAAUUCUUGCAAUAUCAAGUUCCAUGAGCAACAUGGCCUGCAUUAUACACAGCGAUGGAUGAAACCGUUCACCAUGUUGCAAGGAUUCAGAAAUCUAAUAUAAUACUAAGUGUGGCUGUUAUGGCAUGAUGACCUUUAGUGCUGAAUGCUAUGCUGCUGUGUCAGCAGACAUCUAGCUGCCCAUCACAUUGCUUUCCUAUUCCUUUUCUCAUGCUCUUGUGUAAUCGCCUAAUCGGCUAUAUCUGAUCUAUAACUGAAGUCUUGUUUCUUUUUCUUUUUUUUUCUGAAACAUGCAGGAGAAGUGCAUGUCAUUGUAUUAAGAAAAAGAGCCCACAGGUACGAAAUAGAUUACAUAUGCGCCUGUUCACGUACAACAACGACCACAAAAGCAAAGCCAAAAACUCAGGUCAACAAGGUAGACAACCCUUUUGCCCCCGCCCUCUCCCACAGCCUUGCCUCGUGAAGGACCUCCUGAAGCAGCUUUGGCAUUUGCGCACGCUCACCGUCGAAGACACCUCGGUUUCGUUGAUUCCAAAUGCACCAAGCCGCCAGGGCCACCAAAGUGUUGAAACCCUUGCGCAUCUCCUUCGGGACACGCCGCAAAGAUCUCCUCCACCAAGAUUGAAAUCCAGCUACCACCGCAUCCGGUGCAAGGAUCUGGAGGCCCAACCGUUGAAAUACCAGGAACCAGAGCUCUCGCAAAAACGCAUCUGACAAGAAGGUGGUCAAUAGAUUCUUGCUCUUGAUCACACAGCACACAAGCCGACGGGUGUUGCAGCCCCCGACGUGCUACACGAUCUGCCGUCCAACAUUUAUCAAGGGAGGCCAGCCAAAUGAAGAUCUUAAUUCGCAACGGAGCCCAGGAGCGCCAUAUACGCUUGCAAGGCUCAAAAGCGACCGCUCUUGUGAAGAACCUACGGUAAGCAGAUGAUGUUGAAAACUUGCCCGACACCGACGGUGCCCAGAGAUGACAGUCCUGAUGGUUGUCAAGAAGAUGCACAACCUGAACCUCACCCCAGAGCCGCAGGUACUCGAGCAACGCUUGUUCUGAAAGGCUACCGCGAAUGUCCUGGAUCCAUGCCUGGUCCUGCAAGGCAUCCCGAACCAACCGUUUACUGAUGAUUCUCUUCGGCACAAACUGCAUUAGGGCUGGCGCCAGGUCUCGAAUGGCUCGACCAUUUAGCCACUUAUCUACCCAGAACAAAGUAUUUCUCCCGUCCCCGAUCACGGUAGACACCGAGAUAGAGAACAUGGCGCGAACAUUUGGAUGCACUUGGAUGCCUAGCUUUGCCCAUGGCCGGAGCGGCUGCGUUUUCUGCAGCCAGAGGCACUUCAUCCGCAGAGACCAGCCCAGCAGAGUAAGGUUCUGGAAUCCAAGGCCGCCCAACUCUCGUGGCCGGCAAACCCUUUGCCAAGCGACCUUGCAGUGUCCACCUUGCACAUCAUGUCGUCCUUUCCAUAGGAAGGCUCGACGCCGCUUGUCUAUGGCAUUGAUCACCCAUUUGGGAACAUCAAGGGCUAGCAAAGUAUAAAUCGGAAUCGCCGUGAGUACCGCAUUAACCAGGACAGAGCGACCAGCGGCAUUCAGAAGCUGCCGCUUUCCAACCCGGCAGCUUCCCAUCAAUUUUGUCGACAAUUGGCUGGAGUUCUGUCUUGGUCAAUCUACUGAUGUAUAGUGGAAGCCCCAAGUAAGUGCACGGGAAAGCAGCAAUCCUGCACGGGAGCACAGACUGGGCGGUCUCUAGAUCAAUCUCAGAGCAAUGAAUCGGUAUGAUUGAGCUCUUGUGCAAAUUUGUCUGCAGGCCGGAAGCUCCACCAAAGCACUGCAAGAUACGGUUGGAGGCCUGAAGUUCUUGUGCCGAUGGUUGGAUGAAGAGAACAACAUCGUCAGCAUACAUCGACAACCGAUGCCCAAUUGGUCGAGACGCCAGGGGUUGUAGGAGUCCCACUUCAGCAGCCUUGGAGAACAUUGCAUUGAGCAUAUCCAUCACUAAGAUAAACAUCAUUGGGGAUAGAGGGUCCCCCUGACGAAGGCCUCUUCGGUGAACGAUCAUUUCUCCAGGGAAGCCGUUAAGGAGGACACGGGUGGAUGAGGAGACCAGAAGGCUACACAGAAUACGUCUCCACCGAUGGCCAAACCCCAGGUGCACAAGGACUUCAAGAAGGAACGGCCACGAAACGGAGUCAAAUGCCUUGUUGAUGUCAAUCUUGAGGAGGAUCCGCGGUUGUUUUUUAUUGUGAAGGAACCUGGCCAACUGUUGAACCAGGAUGAAGUUGUCAUGGAUAGUUCUUCCUCUGAUGAAGGCACUUUGGUUAACGGAAACCAUGGCCGGCAACCUUGGCGCAAGGCGGUUUGCCAUGAUCUUGGUGAGUAGUUUGGCGAAGCUAUGGACCAGGCUUAUAGGACGGAAGUCCUUCACUUGUUCCGCAUCCGGUACCUUGGGGAUCAAAACCAUUAGAGCCGAAUUGAGCAGGUUUAAGUUCGUCCCGUGCCCGUCAUAAACUGCCCGCAAAGCCUCCAUUACGUCGUCUCUGAUGAUCGACCAGCACUCCUUGUAGAAACGACCUGUAUAGCCGUCCGGGCCCGGCGCUUUAUCGGGUGGCAACAUUUUGAUUGUAUUCCAAACCUCCCACUCUGUGAACGGCAACUCGAGAGCAUCGAGACCGGCCCCAGGCGGCAGGAGCGAGGGUAAAUUUAGGGUGCAGGUGCGCUGAUGCGGAGUGCCAAUAAGGUUCUGAAAAAAAUUCCAAACCGCACUCUGCAUUUCAUCCUGUGUGGUCAGAACCUGGUCAUCCACUCUCAACUUGGUAACUCGGUUCUUUCGUCUGCGGUAUCUUGCAUGCGCAUGGAAGAAAGUCGUAUUUGCGUCCCCUUCUUGAAGCCAAGUUAGUCGUGAUUUCGAACGGGCAAUGGUUCGCUGCAGCGAGGCCAACGCGAGGCAAUGAAACUUCAAUUGUCGAUGCAACCAAGCUUCGCCAUCAGAAAGUACCCUCAAGUCCUGGGCUAUCUCGAGCUUGUGCAACAACUCCCGAGCCAGCGACAUCUGGAAGGAAAGAUCUCCAGUCGUGCGCUAACUCCAUGAUUGCAAUGCCCGGCUAAGCGUGCGGAACUUACAGGCCAGUCUCCUAAAAGGGCAGGUGCUCUGUACCGGCGCCGCCCAAGCCGAGGCCACCACCGCCUGGAAGCCAGAUAAUUUGGGCCAGAAGCUCUGGAAAUGGAAUCGCGAUUUGCCCGCAAGGUUGACCUUGAGGCUUAACAGCAAAGGGCAAUGAUCCAAGAUAGUCGAUGACGUGCUUUGAAGAAGGCAGCCCGGGAAGAGAUGCUCCCAGUCCACUGUGCACAACACCCGGUCAAGAUGGACCAGGGUUGGCGCCGAGCGCUCGUUCGACCAUGUGAAACGGCGACCCAGAAGCUCGAUCUCGUGCAGUUCAAGUUCAUCCAAAAGCCGGUGGAAACGACCCAUCAAGCCGGUGGAAACGACCCAUCAUAGCGCGGUCUACGCUUGCAUUAUUCUUGUCGCACGAUCGGUAAAUCAUGUUGAAGUCCCCCAUAAUCGCCCAGGGACCUAAGCAAGCGGCACGGAUGUCACGCAACUCCUGUAGGAAUAGAAGCUUAUCCGCAUCGAACUGGGGCCCAUAGACACAUGUAAGCCACCAGUGAUUGUUAUCCUCCCCCAAGAGUUGAACGGACACGGAAUAGGAGUCUACACGGGAAGAAGUCUUGUUUCUCAGCUUUACAACCAUUUGAUGGCUUGGCAGUUUAUCAUUCGCACACUGGCUUGUGGGGCUGUGACAAACAUUGGAAUAUUAACAAACAGGAGUCUCUGAUCAACAGAAGUUUUUGGCAGGUUCCCAAAUUGAAGAAUUCACCUGAACGGAGCCAUGGAUCGGAAGAAUCAAACUCCUCAAGCUCACUUAAAUAGAUCAGAUAGCACAAGUGGUUGUGGAAUUUCUAGAGGUGGCCGUCAGCUGCAUUGUCUUCCUCAAAGGCAUCUAUCCUCCUCGUGCAUUUGAGAGGAGAAGGUACAUGAAUGUAGUGGUCCAGAAAGCACUGCAUCCUGAGCUUGCUAGC